rnacentral:rRNA from 1 species
UACGUAGGGUGCAAGCGUUGUUCGGAAUUACUGGGCGUAAAGGGCUCGUAGGCGGCCAACUAAGUCAGACGUGAAAUCCCUCGGCUUAACCGGGGAACUGCGUCUGAUACUGGAUGGCUUGGAUUCGGGAGAGGGAUGCGGAAUUCCAGGUGUAGCGGUGAAAUGCGUAGAUAUCUGGAGGAACACCGGUGGCGAAGGCGGCAUCCUGGACCGACAUUGACGCUGAGGAGCGAAAGCCAGGGGAGCAAAC